UGGGAUUCCAGGUGUGAGCCACCGCACCAGGCCAUCUUUCUGUGUAUUUCUAUAGGCGUCCGCAAACUUUUUCUUUUUUCACUUGAUACUCACCUCAAUUAAGAGCAGGGAUAUUUACAUAUGAUCAGUUUAUUUUUUUUCCUAACACUAUUUAUUGAAAAUCUUUCAAUGUCAGCUCUCUCUCCCCACCUCCCCCGCUUUCUUUUUUUCUGAGACAGGGUCUUGCUCUGUUGCCCAGGCUGGAGUGCAGUAGUGCUAUCUCAACUUACUGCAGCCUCCGCCUCCAGGGCUUAAGUGAUCUUCCUGCCUCAGCCUCCUGAGUGGCUGGAAUCACAGGUGCACCAUCAUGCCUGGCUUGGUCACCAAACUUUUACUGUAAGGGGCAGACUGUCAAUAUUUUUGGCUUUGUCGGGUGCGGUGGCUCACGCCUGUAAUCCCAACACUUUGGGAGUCCAAGGUGGGUGGAUCACGAGGCCAGGAGUUCGAGACCAGCCUGGCCAACAUGGUGAAACCCUGUCACUACCAAAAAUACAAAAAUUAGGGCCGGGUGUGGUGGCUCACGCUUGUAAUCCCAGCACUUUGGUAGGCUGAGGCAGGAGAAU
rnacentral:lncRNA from 1 species